rnacentral:lncRNA from 1 species
AUGAAGUCAGACCACAUUCCCAACUUCAGGUCCUUCUGGUGCGAGUUGGCAGGGGAGCCGGACAGGUUCUGGGUCUUCCACGCAUGGUCAUUUAGUCAGCCCCAAGCACAGACACGCUGUGCAGCCAGCCCUGGGUCACGCAGUGUGGCCGGAGCAGCUGGCACUAGGGCAGAACUGACCCUGAGGAGAGUUGGGGGGGGGGGUCCUCACAGUCGCCGAGGGCAAGGACCUUGGAAGGGGGCAUCUGUGGUGGCAGGGGUCGGGUUGCCCCCCCCCCCAGCCUGCUUCUUUGGGGUGGCCAGGGUCCCUCCCAGGUGGGCCCUGGGACCAGCCUUGGCUAACCCCCGCUCCCACUCAGACUUGGCUAGAGGUGCCAGGAGUGCUGAUGGACGUGACCCCACCCUCACCUCCCCAGGCAUGUUCCUGCGGGUGACCCAGACCCCAGCUGGGCCGUUGUCCCCACCCCACGUGGAUGAGGCCAUGGUCAGCCCCUUUUGGCCCUGGAUACUGGGCUGGGCCCCAGGACACCCCGGGAAAGUCCCCUGGGAACGUCCCCUAGUGCCAGUGGGCCCUGCACUGUGGUUCUUUCAGGGCGAUCGACCAAACCCGAGCCUCCUUUGCCUUGGUUUCCUCAACCCGGAAGUGAGGUGGCCAAGAGUCCGGCACCCCCUCAGGUCAGUCGAGCCAAACAAAGGAGGCCUUGCCAGCUGGGAGCAGGCCGCUCCUGUCUCAGGAAUGUGGGGGGCAGUCACCCGGGAGCGGGGGGGGCCCGGGUGGAGAGCAGCCCUAGCCUGGGCCUCCCCUGGGGGGCGCGGGCAUGUACCAGGCUCGAGUUGGGAGCUGACGCCUUACUUCACAGCGUCUCACUGCCCCAUUUCCCGUGCCGUGAGACGAGGCUCAGUGGGGAAGGGUGGGUCCCCCACCUGGUGCCGCCACAGGAUCUCUGCAGGCCGCCCCACUAGUUCUGACACCGGCGAGGACGCGGAGAGAGAGGAUCUCUUUGGCACUGCUGGUGGGAAUGCUGGCUGGUGCGGCCACUCUGCAAAACGGUAUGGAGGCUCCUCAAAAAAUUAA